UUAGAAAUUUAAACGUACCUCUACUUACUAUUUGUCAUGUACAAGGACAAGGGGACCAGAGCGAUUACCUCUCCCCUUGAUCCGUGGUUUUUACGCACAUAAUUCUAAUAUUCUUCAAUUGUUAUAACAUAUUUUAUCUUUGAAUAACUCUUGAACAAUUCCAGGCUCCGCCACUGAUGUUCAUUAAUGACAUUUUUUCAACUGAUUAUAAUUUACAAAAAGAAUUUAAAUAAUCUAAAACCAAAUAAAAUCC